rnacentral:rRNA from 1 species
UUCCGGUUGAUCCCGCCGGACCCCACUGCUAUCGAGGUGGGACUAAGCCAUGCUAGUCGAACGACCCGGACUAUGGCGGGAAGUGGCAGACUGCUCAAUAACACGUAGCUAACCUACCCUUGGGACGGGUACAACCCCGGGAAACUGAGGUUAAUACCCGAUAGGUGUGGAAUCCUGGAAUGGUACCACGCCCAAAUGUAAACGCAUCCAUGUUUGCGUACACGCCCGAGGAUGGGGCUGCGGCCGAUCAGGCAGUUGGUGAGGUAACGGCUCACCAAACCUUUGACCGGUACGGGCCAUGAGAGUGGUAGCCCGGAGAUGGGCACUGAGACAAGGGCCCAGGCCCUACGGGGCGCAGCAGGCGCGAAACCUCCACAAUUCACGAAAGUGAGAUGGGGUUACCUCGAGUGCCGCCUGAAGAAGGCGGCUUUUCCAUUGUGUAAUGAGCCGUGGGAAUAAGAGGGGGGCAAGACUGGUGUCAGCCGCCGCGGUAACACCAGCCCCUCGAGUGGUGGGGAUGAUUAUUUGGCCUAAAGCGUCCGUAGCCUGCUCUGUAAAUCUUUCGUUAAAUCCAGCGUCCUAAGCGUUGGGCUGCGAGAGAGACUGCAGAGCUAGAGGGUGGGAGAGGUCAGCGGUAUUCCUGGGGUAGGGGCGAAAUCCAUUGAUCCCAGGAGGACCACCAGUGGCGAAGGCUGCUGACUAGAACACGCCUGACGGUGAGGGACGAAAGCUGGGGUAGCGAACCGGAUUAGAUACCCGAGUAGUCCCAGCCGUAAACGAUGCAGGCUAGGUGUUGGGUUGGCCACGUGCCAGCUCAGUGCCACAGGGAAGCCAUUAAGCCUGCCGCCUGGGGAGUACGGCCGCAAGGCUGAAACUUAAAGGAAUUGGCGGGGGAGCACCACCAGGCGUGAAGCCUGCGGUUUAAUUGGAUUCAACGCCGGGAAUCACUAGUGCGGCCGUCCUGCAGUCGACCAUAUGGGAGAGCUCCCAACGCGUUGGAUGCAUAGCUUGAGUAUUUCUAUAGUGUCACCUAAAUAGCUUGCGUAUCAUGUCAUAGCUGUUUCCUGUGUGAAAUUGUUAUUCCGCCUCA